AAGAAUUUAGUUAAUUUAUAACAUUAACUUGUCAAGUUAAAAUAAAUAUUAAAUAUUAAUUUUUA
rnacentral:tRNA from 1 species